GCCCGGUUAGCUCAAUCGGUAGAGCGUGAGACUUUUACCUCAGGAGGAAAGGUCAUCUCAAGGUUGCGGGUUCGACCCCCGCAUCGGGCU